GACUAAUGACCAUGUAGCAUCCUCACGGUCAUGUGAUUAAAAUUUGGUUACUUGCCGCUCCAUAUUUAUGACAGUCGCAGUGUUUCGAGGUUACGUCAUCCCCUUUUGUGACCGUCUGAUAAGCCAAGUCAAUGGGGAAACCAGAUUCACUAAUUCACCAGAUUGACCACCGUAAGAACUGCACUGCAGCGAUUCACUUAACAACUGUGGAAAGGAAGGUUGAACAAUGGGGCAAAACUUGCUUAAGAACUGUUUCGCUUAGCAACAGACAUUUGGGGCUCAGUUGUGGUCAUAUAUUGAGGACAACCUUUAAAAAAAAUCACUAACCCCGCCCCUAACUGCCUUAUCUUCCAGCUGAGGGCUGAUCUCUCCGGGGCAGCCUUGAGAAGCAGCUGUGGGCUUGUAAAGUACUCCUUUAAAUUAAAAGACUUUGAAAACAAUUUCAACGGGGGCUUAGGAAGGAGAAAAGCAAAAAAAUGGACGAUUAAAUUGGCCACGCACACCCAGUCAUAUGACCUUGUAGCCAUGCCCGCCCACCCAGUCUGGUCCCCCAACAGUCUGAGGGACUGUGAAUCAGCCCCCUGUUUAAAACGUUUGAGGACCCCCGCUCUACAACGUCAGACAAACGGCUGUCCAGAAUAUUGGGUGCAUCCCAAGGUCUCCUCACCUCCGAGAAGAAAACCAUCCCGAUGGUCUUCUCUCUUAGAUCGGGAUGGUGCAGGACGACAUCGAACUGAGGAAUACCUCCAUCACCAUUUUUGGCAUGCUCCUAAAAGGACUGAAGGAGAUACGGAACAGUAAUAUGGCCGAAAACAUCCUGAACAGCCUUGUUCCUCUAGUCAUACUACUGUCAAAUGGUCGGACGAAAGAGGCUGCUGCACGCAAUACAUGCAACCGGAUGUGGUGACUUCAAAACAAAUCGAAGAAGUUUUCCUUG